rnacentral:snoRNA from 1 species
AACCCAUGGUGAGGGCACCUUCUCAAUAAGUCUUUGUAUCUCUCCCAUGCAUCAUAAAGUGUUUCUAAAUCCAUCUGUACAAAAGAAGAGAUAUCAUUCCUUAAUUU